AGUGAACGCUGGCGGUAGGCCUAACACAUGCAAGUCGAACGGCAGCACAGUAAGAGCUUGCUCUUACGGGUGGCGAGUGGCGGACGGGUGAGGAAUACAUCGGAAUCUACUUUUUCGUGGGGGAUAACGUAGGGAAACUUACGCUAAUACCGCAUACGACCUACGGGUGAAAGCAGGUGAUCUUCGGACCUUGCGCGAUUGAAUGAGCCGAUGUGGGAUUAGCUAGUUGGCGGGGUAAAGGCCCACCAAGGCGACGAUCCGUAGCUGGUCUGAGAGGAUGAUAGGCCACACUGGAACUGAGACACGGUCCCGACUCCUACGGGAGGCCGCAGUGGGGAAUAUUGGACAAUGGGCGCAAGCCUGAUCCAGCCAUACCGCGUGGGUGAAGAAGGCCUUCGGGUUGUAAAGCCCUUUUGUUGGGAAAGAAAAGCAGCAGGUUAAUACCCCGCUGUUCUGACGGUACCCAAAGAAUAAGCACCGGCUAACUUCGUG
rnacentral:rRNA from 1 species